rnacentral:rRNA from 1 species
AUUGAACGCUGGCGGCAGGCCUAACACAUGCAAGUCGAACGAGUGGCGGACGGGUGAGUAAUGUCUGGGAAACUGCCCGAUGGAGGGGGAUAACUACUGGAAACGGUAGCUAAUACCGCAUACCAUCAGAUGUGCCCAGAUGGGCUUAGCUUGUGGGUGGGGUAACGGCUCACCAAGGCGACGAUCCCUAGCUGGUCUGAGAGGAGGACCAGCCACCCGGGAACGGGGACACGGUCCAGAUUCCUACGGGAGGCAGCAGGGGGGAAUAUUGCCCAAUGGGCGCAAGCCUGAUGCAGCCAGGCCGCGGGUAUGAAGAAGGCAUUCGGAUUGUAAAGUACGUUCAGCGGGGAGGCGUUACCCGCAGAAAAAGCACCGGCUAACUCCGUGCCAGCAGCCGCGGUAAUUC